GCAUGGCUGAAUACUGUGUUCUUUUUAUCGGUAGUUUACACAGCCAGACAUCAUGCAAAAGUAAAGUCUUCCCUCUAAAAUGCCUGUGAUGGUAUGCUAAGCUUUUUCAUAGCAUAUCAUAUUUAAAAGUGGGUACAGUU
ensembl:snoRNA